UCUCCCUGUGCCUCUUUAAGUUUCAGGCUUCUUACACUAUUUUUGUGCUAACUCUGAAUUGAAGAGCUGCUUUUACAUGUGGUUUUCUUUAAUUUGCUCUACAGGACCAAGGAAGAUGCUGCAGCACACAUCACGUCUCUCAAAGCCUCUCAUCAGAGGGAAAUAGAGAAACUCCUUUGCCAAAAUACAGUAGAAAAUUCUUCUUCCAAAGUAGCCGAAUUAAAUCGCAAACUAGCAACUCAAGAGAUAGCAGAACUCUUAGAGGAAUUGAAAGAAGCCAAAGAAAACCAUACACCAGACAUGAACAAAGAGAGCAGGAACUUCAACAGAAAAGCAGCUCCUCUUUCUCUUGGAAACAGGGAGGAAUGUGAGCACGUGGCGUGCACAGUCACAUGGAUAGUCCCCUGAGUAGCAGAGCUUCCAUGAUGACUUAACAAGACCAGUGACGUCCGCACGGGAAGCAGGUGAGCUCUCACGUUUUCCCUCGGAGCUCCACUCCUGCCUCUAGUUGCCUCCCGGCUGUACUCACCAUCAGGUGAAAAUGUAUUUUACGACCGCUGAGAGGAUUUGGUUUAUUCAUUGUUUUAAUCUUUUAUGCUGUGUGUCUUAAAUGCAAGUCUUUGUCUGUAACUCUAAGACUAUAAACAGAACAGAACAUUUUUACUUUCUCUACUUAAAAACUAAUAUAUGUUCAUUAGAAAAAAGCAUGCA